rnacentral:lncRNA from 1 species
GCAUGUUUGCAAUGUGUAAGUAUGCACUGCCUCAUCUUCGCAAGGUGAAAGGAAGUGUAGUAAACAUUUCAAGUUUUAGCGGAACAAAUGCACAAGCACUGAUGUCGACAUACUGUUCUUCAAAGGGUGCUGUUAGGUCUUUAUCAAAGGCAUUGGCUAUUGAUGAAUCGAAAUAUUGAGUUAGAGUUAAUAACAUUUGCCCAGGUCCUAUCAAUACUCCAGCACUAGAAGCCUGGUUAAAAUCGGACGAAGAGAAAUUUGCAAUGAUUGAAAGUUGGGCG